ensembl:lncRNA DHRS4-AS1 DHRS4 antisense RNA 1
GACUGGACGCUUCGCCGAGGGUGGGCUAGGAACGCCGAGAGUCAGCCCCAGGGAGCGCCAGGGAACUGCACCUGUCACCGAAGGGCGGGACGGGCGGCUCCGGGACAGGAAGGUCCCGACCGGGUGAGGCGAGGCAGGCAGCGGAGGAUGCUCCGGGGACAGCGAUGCCCGGACUGGAAUGCAGGGGCUGCCUUGGAGCCAGGAUGCAUGGGGUGCCACUUCGGAUAAACCCUUUGGACUCCUAACUCCAAUCAGGUGUCUGCUUUGUUGAGGACUCACAGACACAGUCUCCUUUCUUCAAGAUCUUUACAAUGCAAGACCUCACUAACACACAGGGAUGGUCUCCCAGAGGGUCUGUGCUGUUCCUUCACUCAGAACAUCAAGAUGCACUGAAGUAAGGAUCCUCUAUUCUACAGUUCCUGCUAGCUGAGCUAUUCCAUGGGGGCUUCAGCAGGAAAUUCCAAGGUUGGCUUUGACAAGCUAAGGCCGGCUGGUGGAGCACAUCGAGUUCUGGAGGUUCAUGUGUGUUUUCAUGAAGAUCUGUCUGCCCGUAGCAGAUAAAGAGUUGUUGCCCCACUCCUCCUGGGGUCUUCUAUUUUCCUGGGAGGAAUUUCUGGAUUAACUGAACACACACACACACACACACACCCUUUUGAAGCAUCAACAGUAAUUCUGAGUUCUUAGGGACAAUGCAGAUUAAAUCCACAAUAAGAAAGACAACUAUGGCCAGGUGUGGUGGCUCACGCCUGUAAUCCCAGAACUUUGGGAGGCUGAGGCGGAUGGAUCACCUGAGGUCAGGAGUUAGAGACCAACCUGACCAACAUGGAGAAACCCCGUUUCUACUAAAAAUGCAAAAUUAGCCGGGCAUGGUGGCAGGCGCCUGUAAUCCCAAAUACUCGGGAGGCUGAGGCAGGAGAAUCACUUAAACCCGGGAGGCAGAGGUUGCAGUGAGCCAAGAUCGCGCCAUUGCACUCCAGCCUGGGCAAGAAGAGCAAAACUCCAUCUCAAAAAAAAAAAAAGAGUACUAUUGAUCCAGAGGUGACCAGACUAGCCUCACUGGAGAUAAUAGGUGACAUUAUUAUGCAAAGUGGUUUCAGUUCCCUUGUCUUGUUUUUGGAAUAGUAUAAGAGGCCUACAAUACGAAUAAAUAAGGCCCAUCACAAGCCUCACCAAAGGACAAAACUAAUCCACUUCUGAAGAAGGCUCUUUGUUGGGCCAGAUCAAAUCCUUGGACAGAACUGUACUCUUAAUCUCUGUAGUGAAAGUGGGGGGUAGUUUAAGAAUUUAUUAACCUUCUACCUUGAGCAAUCCCUCAGAAGUAAGAGGUGUCAGGCCUCUGAGCCGAAGCUCAGCCAUUGUAACCCCUGUGACCUGCACAUAUAUGUCCAGAUGGCCUGCAGGAGCCAAGAAGUCUGGGGCAGCUGAAAAACCACACAAGAAGUAAAACAGCCAGUUCCUGCCUUAACUGAUUAACCAACAUUACAACAUUCCACCAUUGUGACCUGUCCCUGUCCUACCUUAACUGAUCAAUCGACCUUGUGACAGUCUUCUUCUGGACAAUGGGUCUUAUCAUCUCCCCACCAUGUACCUUGUGACCCCCUCCUCUGCUAACAAUAGAUAACCACUUUUUACUGUAAUUUUCCAUUACCUACCCAACUCCUAUAAAGCAACCCCUUCCCCAUCUCCCUUCACUGACUCUGUUUUCAGACUCAGCCCACUUGCACUCAAGUGAAUAAACAGCCUUGUUGCUCACACAAAGCCUGUUGGUGGUCUCUUCACACAGAUGUGCUUGACAAAAGGGAAGGGUGGAUUUGUCCUUCUGGUUACAUAUGUUCUGCUCACUCAUUUUGAAUUUAAUUAAACAAGGAUUGCCCUUACCUUUUCAUACUUUGUAAGAAACCAUAAAUACUUAUGCACCAUGAUUUUUUUAAAGAAACACUUUUUAUUUUGAAGUAAUUAUAGUCUCAUAGGAAGUUGCAAAAGUAGUACAUAGAGUCCCUGAGUACUCUUCCCCCAGUGGUGACAACUGUAGUAUAAUAUCAAUUCUGGGAAAUUGACAUUGGUACAAUACCAAAUAUACUAUGCCUUUUUCUCUAAGGCAUGAUGUUGCAGUAGCAUCCUUGUACAUGUAGCUAGGAGAACUUGUACUAAGCCCAGAUAAAUAGUUGAAGUACAAGGGCAAGGAGUGUGUCUUUGAUAUUUUAAUAGAAAUCACCUAUUGCCCUCUAGAAAAGCUGUACCCUUUUCCAGUGGCAGAGAACCUUCCUGAAAGGCAGUCCUGUGUAAUGGUGUCCAUUUCAUCACACCCUUAAAACACUCAGCUUUAACAAACAUGCAGAUUUUUGCUGAUGUGGGAGAAAAUAUUAAUUAUUAAUGAUAUUAAGGUGAUUAUCUUUUCGUAUGUUUAUAGAUAUUUGUAUUUCUUUUUAAAUGAACUGCUCAUGACCUUUGUCUACUUUUAUUUGGGUUUACUUCUUUCUCAUUUAUUCCUAUAAACUCUUUAUAAAAGGAAAUUAACCAUUUGAUUGUCAUAUGUUGUGAAUAUUUUUACCAUUUUGACUUUUGAAUUUAUGUCUUUUUAAUGAAUUGUAGAAGUUUAAAAUCUUUAU